UACGUAGGGGCGAGCGUUGUCCGGAUUAUUGGGCGUAAGGAGCGUGUAGGCGGCCAGAUAGGUCCGUUGUGAAAACUCGAGGCUCAACCUCGAGACGCCGAUGGAAACCAUCUGGCUAGAGUCCGGAAGAGGAGAGUGGAAUUCCUGGUGUAGCGGUGAAAUGCGCAGAUAUCAGGAAGAACACCCGUGGCUAAGGCGGCUCUCUAGUACGGUACUGACGCUGAGACGCGAAAGCGUGGGGAGCGAACAGG
rnacentral:rRNA from 1 species